UACGGAGGGUGCGAGCGUUGUCCGGAAUUAUUGGGUUUAAAGGGUGCGUAGGCGGCUAGAUAAGUCAGAGGUGAAAUCUCAAGGCUCAACCUUGAAACUGCCUUUGAUACUGUUUAGCUUGAAUUUACAAGAGGUAGGCGGAAUUUAUGAUGUAGCGGUGAAAUGCAUAGAUAUCAUAAAGAACACCGAUAGCGUAGGCAGCUUACUGGAGUAAUAUUGACGCUGAGGCACGAAAGCGUGGGUAGCGAACGGG
rnacentral:rRNA from 1 species